GCUGGAGGAAGCAAAGCGUGGAGAAGAACAGUUCACCAAACUCAGAGCGAAAGAGUUGGGAUUUAUUUGUCUGCUUUCAGCGGUCACCUCCACAGUGCCACUUUGGUGUGGGCUGAGUGAAAAAGCAACAAGCACCUGCAGGGCCGCGUCAGUGGCCCAAACCCCUUUACUGCAGUAUGGGCAACUUUUCCAGCAAGGACGGCCAUGGACUCACAGGGGCCCAUGGGGAGAGUUUCCACACUCCUCCUGCUUCUCCACAAAGUGAUGUGCCCGCUUUCAUCCCUGGUGUGCCCCAGCUUCACCCUACCUCGCCUCAACCUUCCCUUGCAGCCCCAGUUUCACCUCCACCUCCAGUUCCAGUCAUCACAUCCAUCGGGAAGAAG